rnacentral:lncRNA from 1 species
AUGGUGAGGAAGGCUGCGGGGGUGGGGGGGGAGAGAGAGAGAGAGGAAACCCCCCCCUCAGACCUUGCCACCACCUCCCUCGUCCUCCUCACCACGUGAGGGGCCACGCACGAGCCCAUGGCCCACAUCCCACCUCCUGCGUCCCAUGUACCACAUCCCGUGUCCCAUGUCCUUCAUCUGAUCUCCUGCAUCCCAUGUCCCAUGUCCUGCAUCCCAUGUACCUCAUCCCAUGUCCCAUGUCCUGCAUCCCAUGUACCUCAUCCCAUGUCCCAUGUCCCAUGUACCACAUCCCACAUCCCGUGUACCACAUCCCAUGUCCUGCAUCCCAUGUCCCACAUCCUGCAUCCCACACCCCACGUCCCGUGUCCUGCAUCCCACGUCCUGUGUCCUGCAUCCUGUGUCCCACGUCCAUCCCAUGUUCCGCAUCCCACAUCCCAUGUCCCACAUCCUGCAUCCUGUGUCCCACGUCCCGUGUCCCAUGUACCACAUCCCGUGUCCUGCAUCCCGUGUCCCACGUCCAUCCCAUGUUCCGCAUCCCACAUCCCGUGUCCCAUGUCCUGCAUCCCGUGUCCCACNACGUCCUGCAUCCCGUGUCCCACAUAACAUGUCCCAUGUCCCACAUCCUGUGUCCUGCAUCCCACGUCCUGUGUCCUGCAUCCUGUGUCCCACGUCCAUCCCACAUCCCGUGUCCCACGUCCCAUGUCCCACGUCCCAUGUCCUGCAUCCCACGUCCUGUGUCCUGCAUCCUGUGUCCCACGUCCAUCCCAUGUUCCGCAUCCCACAUCCCGUGUCCCACGUCCUGCAUCCCGUGUCCCACGUCCAUCCCACAUCCCACGUCCUGCAUCCUGUGCCCCACAUACCAUGUCCUGCAUCCCACAUCCCGUGUCCUACGUCCUGCAUCCCGUGUCCCAUGUCCCGUGUCCUGCAUCCUGUGUCCCAUGUCCAUCCCACAUCCCGUGUCCCGUGUCCUGCAUCCUGUGUCCCACGUCCCAUGUCCCACAUCCCGUGUCCUGCAUCCCACGUCCUGUGUCCUGCAUCCUGUGUCCCACGUCCAUCCCGUGUUCCGCAUCCCACAUCCCGUGUCCCACGUCCCGUGUCCCACGUCCCGUGCCCCGCACCGGCCCCCAGCCUCACCGGAGGUGAUGAAAUAAUACGGGGAGUCCCCGUGGAUCCCCACGAUGCCCGGCCCGAUGGAAUCCGCCAGGAUGUUAAUGACGGAGAAGACGCCGCUGAUGAUGCCGAAGGACAAGCCGGAGA